UACGGGGGGGGGCAAGCGUUGUUCGGAAUUACUGGGCGUAAAGGGCUCGUAGGCGGCCAACUAAGUCGGACGUGAAAUCCCUCGGCUUAACCGGGGAACUGCGUCCGAUACUGGAUGGCUUGAGUUCGGGAGAGGGAUGCGGAAUUCCAGGUGUAGCGGUGAAAUGACGUAGAUAUCUGGAGGAACACCGGUGGCGAAGGCGGCAUCCUGGACCGACACUGACGCUGAGGAGCGAAAGCCAGGGGAGCAAACGGG
rnacentral:rRNA from 1 species